GCCAGAACCAGCCCAAUGGCAGGAGGUACGGCAGAAAACAGGCUGCAGUUGGCACAUCAAACCCCAUGCUGUUUUGCCACAAAUACAAAGGAGUCACUUUCUGAGAGGAAGUCAGCUCUUCCUGCUCCUUACCUGGUGCCACCCAAAUGAUUAUUUCUGGCUUUUUCAGAAAGCAGCAGGGUAUACAGUGUGGACUCGGGGCAGAACCUGGACAUUCAGCUGGCUCCAGUAACCAUGGAAACCAGGACACAGAGUCUCCACCAACCAGACCCAGGGAUCCCCCUUUCCAGUUGUGUCAGUAGAAAGAGAAUCUGGCUGGUACUGAUCACCCUAAAAGCUGGGGCAAUCUUGUCAAGUCUGCUGCACUUAGGAAACAUCAUUGGUCAUCUGAGACGGACGUGGGAUUGGUGAACUUUAAGGGUGAGAGAGUACAGUCAUUGUUUGACACCUGUGAGCUCUACAUCCAAGGAUUCAACCAACCUUGGAUAGAAAAUAUCAGGAAAAAAAUGUGUCUGUACUGUACAUGCGCAGGCUUUUUCUUGUGUUUAUUCCCUAAAAAAUAGAGAAUAACAACCAUUCACAUGGCAUUUAUGUUACA
rnacentral:lncRNA from 1 species